AACGAACGCUGGCGGCAUGCCUAACACAUGCAAGUCGAACGAGACCUUCGGGUCUAGUGGCGCACGGGUGCGUAACGCGUGGGAACCUGCCCUUAGGUUCGGAAUAACUCCCCGAAAGGGGUGCAAAUACCGGAUAAUGUCUUCGGACCAAAGAUUUAUCGCCUUUGGAUGGGCCCGCGUUGGAUUAGCUAGUUGGUAGGGUAAAAGCCUACCAAGGCGACGAUCCAUAGCUGGUCUGAGAGGAUGAUCAGCCACACUGGGACUGAGACACGGCCCAGACUCCUACGGGAGGCAGCAGUGGGGAAUAUUGGACAAUGGGCGAAAGCCUGAUCCAGCAAUGCCGCGUGAGUGAUGAAGGCCUUAGGGUUGUAAAGCUCUUUUACCCGGGAUGAUAAUGACAGUACCGGGAGAAUAAGCUCCGGCUAACUCCGUG
rnacentral:rRNA from 1 species